rnacentral:rRNA from 1 species
UUUGUCGCGUUGUUCGUGAAAUCUCACGGCUUAACUGUGAGCGUGCGGGCGAUACGGGCAGACUUGAGUACUGCAGGGGAGACUGGAAUUCCUGGUGUAGCGGUGGAAUGCGCAGAUAUCAGGAGGAACACCGGUGGCGAAGGCGGGUCUCUGGGCAGUAACUGACGCUGAGGAGCGAAAGCGUGGGGAGCGAACAGGAUUAGAUACCCUGGUAGUCCACGCCGUAAACGGUGGGUACUAGGUGUGGGUUUCCUUCCUUGGGAUCCGUGCCGUAGCUAACGCAUUAAGUACCCCGCCUGGGGAGUACGGCCGCAAGGCUAAAACUCAAAGAAAUUGACGGGGGCCCGCACAAGCGGCGGAGCAUGUGGAUUAAUUCGAUGCAACGCGAAGAACCUUACCUGGGUUUGACAUGCACAGGACGCCGGCAGAGAUGUCGGUUCCCUUGUGGCCUGUGUGCAGGUGGUGCAUGGCUGUCGUCAGCUCGUGUCGUGAGAUGUUGGGUUAAGUCCCGCAACGAGCGCAACCCUUGUCUCAUGUUGCCAGCGGGUAAUGCCGGGGACUCGUGAGAGACUGCCGGGGUCAACUCGGAGGAAGGUGGGGAUGACGUCAAGUCAUCAUGCCCCUUAUGUCCAGGGCUUCACACAUGCUACAAUGGCCGGUACAAAGGGCUGCGAUGCCGCGAGGUUAAGCGAAUCCUUUUAAAGCCGGUCUCAGUUCGGAUCGGGGUCUGCAACUCGACCCCGUGAAGUCGGAGUCG